rnacentral:lncRNA from 1 species
GUUAGAGGGGUUAUAAUCCCCUCAAUAAUCAGAUCCAGCUAAUAUAAACCCCUCAAUAUCAUCACACAUAAUUCAGAUGAACAAAAAAAAUGAAAUAUUCUGAAUUAAUACCUUGGUUUGUUUUCUUUAUUAAUUUAAUUUGUCAGCAAGAUAGUAUCAUGUUUUGAUAAUCUGUAAUGUACUCCCCCCCCCCCCCCCCCCCCCCCCAGCCCACCGACUACUUGGGUAUUACCCGAACUAUUUCGCAUGAAACUGUACAUGAAUGGAUAUGAAAAGGACACUGAAAGGCAGCCAGGGCCAGACAACAAUAUUUAAUUGUUGGUCGUCAAAGGAGCCAAAAGCCAAAAGGAGUAAAAAUCCUGACGAUAAGGAGGAGAAGAGGGAAAGAGAGGGAAAUGGCCAAGGAGGCGACAGAGGGUCAGGUGACCAGAAAGAGAGAGAAGAAGAAGACAGAGGAGGCAACAGAGCAAUUGAAGGAGAGAGAGGAGGCGACAGAGGGACAGGUGACCAGAAAGAGAGAGAAGGCGACAGAGCAAUUGAAGGAGAGCGAGGAGGCGACAGAGGGUCAGGUGACCAGAGAGAGAGAGAAGAAGGAGACAGAGGAGGUGACAGAGCAAUUGAAAGAGAGCGAGGAGGCGACAGAGGGUCAGGUGACCAGAGAGAGAGAGAAGAAGGAGACAGAGGAGGUGACAGAGCAAUUGAAGGAGAGCGAGGAGGAGACAGAGGGUCAGGUGACCAGAGAGAGAGAGAAGAAGAAGGAGACAGAGGAGGCGACAAAGGGUCAGAUGGCCAAAGUGAGGGAGAGAGAGCACAGAGACAGGCAGCGCAGGAGGCACAGAUGACCAGGUAAGAGACUUCAAACAAAAUUGUGCAUGCCAUACACUGUCAGAACACUGACGUUCUGUGAACUGCAUACUACUCUGUAGUAUUCCAUAAGAGUUUAAGGACUGAAACCACUUGAUUCUCUACUAUAGCACUUGGGGGGUUGUCAAACUCUAGGCAUUGUUAUAAUAAUAAUAUUAAUAAUAAUUCAUUUAAUUUGUAACAUACUCUUAAUUCUGAGGAAUCCCAGAAUCCCAGUUAUGGGUUUUAAGUGUAAAUAAAACUGUAGAUGCCCUUUCAAAAAGUGCUGAGUUAUCUUGACAUUGCUCAUUGUGCCUAGUAUUUAGUUUUGAAUGAGAGAUCUUGUGUAAAGUAAGGAAUUUGGUUGCUGUGGUUUCCUCACAGAGGGUCACAUGAUGAGGGCAGCAGUCAGGCAAAUGAGCAGGUGAGAACACAAGGGAACAUAAUUUAGCUGUGAAGAGCAUUAUUGAUCAAUACAUUCAUUUAAUAGGAUUGUUAUUUCAGAGAGUGACACGUUUUCAUGUCAUAUGUUACAGGAUAUUGAGCCCCAGGGAUUUUAUGUUUCAGACAUCCUCACCUGCACAAAGCCUGCACAACCUGACCCUAAGCUUAUAGUAGUGCAGAAGCGAGAUAACUGUGUGUUGUCUUUUCAAGAGAAAUGGUUCAAAACUUUUCCUUGGUUACAUUACAGUGCCACUUUACAAGGAGUCAUAUGUUUUCACUGUGCCAAGGUUUUUUUUGAAUCAGCCAACAUAUGCAAGCAAGUGUGACCCUGCCUUUGUGAGUGUAGGCUUUAGAAAUUGGAAAAAAGCUAUCCAGAAUUUCUCACAACAUGCAAAAAGUCAGUUGCAUAUCCAUGCCGUGAACAUCUAUGCACAAAAAGGUAACACUAUAGCUUCACAGCUUUCUUCAGCUGUUGCCAGACAACAGGAGGAAGCAAGGUAUGGAUUGAUGAAGAUUGUAGGCUCAAUCAAAUACUUAGCUAGGCAAGGUUUACCGCUACGAGGUCAUGUGGAAGAGAAGGGUAAUCUAUCCCAACAUCUGAAAGAAAAGGCAGAGGAUGACCCUGCUUUUCAGAAGUGGUUAGAGACACGCAAGCAGGAUUACACAAGUCCUCUCAUUCAAAACGAGGUACUAGGCAUAAUGAGCAAAGACAUUAUAAGAGGAAUAGCUGACACUAUUAGAUGCCUCCCAGUCACACAGUUUGCCUUGAUUGUUGAUGGGACACAAGACAUAUCAGGU